rnacentral:tRNA from 1 species
GCAUCCAUGGCUGAAUGGUUAAAGCACCAGCUCAUAGCUAAUACAUUUGCGGAUUCAAUUCAUGUUGGAUGCA